UACGGGGGGAGCAAGCGUUGUUCGGAUUUACUGGGCGUAAAGGGCGCGUAGGCGGUCGUGACAAGUCACUUGUGAAAUCUCCGGGCUUACUCGGAACGGUCAAGUGGUACUGUCGGACUAGAGUACAGAAGGGGCAACUGGAAUUCUCGGUGUAGCGGUGAAAUGCGUAGAUAAUCGAGAGGAACACCUGCGGCGAAGGCGGGUUGCUGGGCUGAUAACUGACGCUGAGGCGCGAAAGCCAGGGGAGCGAACGGG
rnacentral:rRNA from 1 species